ACCAAGGAGUCUAACAUGUGCGCGAGCCGCGGGGCAGUACGAAACCCGUAAGGCGAAAUGAAGGUGAACGCCGGCGCGGUCCGGCGGAGGUUGGAUCCCGUCCCGUCGGGGCGGGCGCACUACCGGCCGAUCUUCUCCGCCCUGUCGGCGAGGUCGAGCGAGAGCGUGCAAGUCGGGACCCGAAAGAUGGUGAACUAUGCCUGAGGAGGUUGAAGCCAGAGGAAACUCUGGUGGGAGGACCGUAGCGAUUCUGACGUGCAAAUCGAUCGUCAAAUUUGG
rnacentral:ncRNA from 1 species